rnacentral:rRNA from 1 species
UCGAGAAUUUUUCUCAAUGGGCGCAAGCCUGAAGGAGCGACGCCGCGUGGAGGAUGAAGGUCUUCGGAUUGUAAACUCCUGUCAUUAGGGAACAAAGUCCCCGGUUAACCGCCGGCGGGCCUGAUAGUACCUGAAGAGGAAGAGACGGCUAACUCUGUGCCAGCAGCCGCGGUAAUACAGAGGUCUCAAGCGUUGUUCGGAUUCAUUGGGCGUAAAGGGUGCGUAGGUGGCGCCGUAAGUCAGGUGUGAAAUCUCGGGGCUCAACCCCGAAACUGCACUUGAUACUGCGGUGCUCGAGUACUGGAGAGGAGAUUGGAAUUUACGGUGUAGCAGUGAAAUGCGUAGAUAUCGUAAGGAAGACCAGUGGCGAAGGCGAAUCUCUGGACAGUUACUGACACUGAGGCACGGAAGGCCAGGGGGAGCAAACGGGAUUAGAUACCCCGGUAGUCCUGGCA